UACGUAGGGGGCUAGCGUUGUCCGGAAUCAUUGGGCGUAAAGCGCGCGUAGGCGGCCCGGUAAGUCCGCUGUAAAAGUCAAAGGCUCAACCUUUGAAUGUCAGUGGAUACUGCCGGGCUAGAGUCCGGAAGAGGCGAGUGGAACUCCUGGUGUAGCGGUGGAAUGCGCAGAUAUCGGGAAGAACACCCGUGGCUAAGGCGGCUCUCUAGUACGGUACUGACGCUGAGACGCGAAAGCGUGGGGAGCGAACAGG
rnacentral:rRNA from 1 species